UGGGGAAUAUUGCACAAUGGGGGAAGCCCUGAUGCAGCGAUGCCGCGUGGAGGAAGAAGGUUUAGGAUUGUAAACCUCUGUCUUCAGGGACGAAAUAAAUGACGGUACCUGAGGAGGAAGCUCCGGCUAACUACGUGCCAGCAGCCGCGGUAAUACGGAGGAUCCGAGCGUUAUCCGGAUUUAUUGGGUUUAAAGGGUGCGUAGGCGGCGGUGCAAGUCAGCGGUAAAAGCCCGGGGCUCAACCCCGGCGAGCCGUUGAAACUGCAGUGCUAGAGAGGCGAGAGGUACGCGGAAUGCGCAGUGUAGCGGUGAAAUGCUUAGAUAUUGCGCAGAACUCCGAUUGCGAAGGCAGCCUACCGGCUCCAGACUGACGCUGAGGCACGAAAGCGUGGGUAUCGAACAGGAUUAGAUACC
rnacentral:rRNA from 1 species